UAGGGAAUUUUCCGCAAUGGGCGAAAGCCUGACGGAGCAACGCCGCGUGCAGGAGGAAGGCCUUCGGGUUGUAAACUGCUUUUAACGGGGACGAUUUUGACGGUACCCGUAGAAUAAGGAUCGGCUAAUUCCGUGCCAGCAGCCGCGGUCAUACGGAAGAUCCGAGCGUUAUCCGGAAUUACUGGGCGUAAAGAGUUGCGUAGGUGGCAUAGUAAGCAAGCAGUGAAAGGUCUCGGCUCAACCGAGGAUACAUUGUUUGAACUGCUAGGCUUGAGCAUGAGAGAGGUAGAUGGAAUUUCUAGUGUAGGAGUGAAAUCCGUAGAUAUUAGAAGGAACACCGAUGGCGUAGGCAGUCUACUGGCUCAUUGCUGACACUAAGGCACGAAAGCGUGGGGAGCGAACGGGAUUAGAUACCCCCGUAGUCC
rnacentral:rRNA from 1 species